AUUGAACGCUGGCGGCAGGCCUAACACAUGCAAGUCGAACGAGUGGCGGACGGGUGAGUAAUGUCUGGGAAACUGCCCGAUGGAGGGGGAAAACUACUGGAAACGGUAGCUAAUACCGCAUACCAUCGGAUGUGCCCAGAUGGGAUUAGCUUGUAGGUGAGGUAACGGCUCACCUAGGCGACGAACCCUAGCUGGUCUGAGAGGAUGAACAGCGACAAGUGCAACUGUACACGGUCGAGACUCCUACGGGAGGCAGAAGUGGGGAACAUGGCACAAGUGGCGGAAGCGUGAAAUCGCCAGGCCGGGUGGAUUAAGAAGGCCUUCUGGUUGUAAAGUACCUUCUGCGGUGAGGCGUUACUCGCAGAAGAAGCACCGGCUCACUCCGCGCCACCAGCCGCGUUAAUAC
rnacentral:rRNA from 1 species